rnacentral:rRNA from 1 species
AUGGAUCCAGAAAAGGUAGUGCAGAUGUUGAUUGCAUAUUGUGAUCCCUCCAAAGAAGCAUAUGAGCCUAUCGCCGAGGAUUGGACAGAUGUUCAAGCGGACAACAACACAAAAGAGGCCGAUGAUAGUUAUCUUUGCAACCCAAUCCCGGAGAAUGAGCAUGUUGGUAUUGAUGAGGAGAAAAUGUAUUUGGAGAAAGAACCUAUACCUCUAAAAUUGGUUCUUUUUUCUGGUAAAGAGAAAGACAAAACCAAUGUUUCUGAGGAUGAUAGCGAGGAUGGGAGCGAGGAGGAGCCUGAAGUAGAGGAGGAGGAGUUGCAUGAGCCAGAUCAUGCCCCAAAUACAGAGUAUGACCAGCAAGACCCUCCAAUGACUGUAGGAUCCACAUAUCCCAAUAUGGAUGUGUUUAAGUUGGCUCUUUCUCAGCAUGCAGUCAAACGUGACUUUGAGUAUAACACAGAAAAGAGCACAAAACAUAGGUUAAGGGCCUAUUGUAAAAGAAGAGAUGAAGAUGAUUGCCCAUGGAGGAUACAUGCUUCUACAACAGCCGAUAGGCGUACUGUAAUGGUAAAAACAACCUUUUGA